AAACAGACACGGGGUCAAUGGGUGAUCAUGAAGGCCCUGACCUAGGUUAGUGAUCUCCAUUGCACUUGGGAGAGGUGCUAGCUUAAGCUCUUCUCAUUUAAAUGAGGAGAACCUACGUGACAUUUUUUGGUAGUGGGGGUGUGCGUUCGCGCUGCCCCCUA